UGGUUGUACACCAUUUUUGCAGCCACCGUGGACGCUGCGCCGACGGGCUUAGCGGAAGUCGAUAACGGUCUCGUACGAUGCGUGACGUCACCGAUUGGCCCGUGCGGGCCUCCGGCUGUUUCUCCUACACGCGCCAUGUAUCUGCUUCGUGCCACAUGGAUGACCAGUCGUCUACUUCGCCGAUUUCGCCGAAAGAUAUUCGCCGGCAGUAAACACGAAACCUGCAGAAAGCAGUACAGGACGAAUACCGGAGUCCAACAACCGUAAGCAGAUGCCCACAGAAGACCCGGGAGCCUACUUCAGGAAGCUCAAAUUUCCUGGCAUCUGAGGAAGACCUAGGAAUAAUCCCAGACAGCACGGCGGGCACUGGGAUUCGAAC